rnacentral:ncRNA from 19 species
AGCAAAGUAAAUGACACGCGUUAAGUGCAUACAGAUGGGAAGUUGCUGUAUGACGAAGCGAAAGCGCGGUGUGUUAUUGCGUCCGUUGCG